rnacentral:ncRNA from 2 species
CGUUCCCUUGCUGGAGAGAGGCCGCCGCAGCGACGCGGCCCACCGAAGGAGCAAGCCCCCAUGCGUUGCAGCAGCGGGGUGAAUCUCUCAGGUAAAGAGGACAGCAGGGCAAAU